rnacentral:rRNA from 2 species
UACGGGGGGGGCAAGCGUUGUUCGGAAUUACUGGGCGUAAAGGGCGCGUAGGCGGGCGGACAAGUCUCUCGUGAAAGCCCACGGCUCAACCGUGGAAUUGCGGGAGAUACUGUCUGUCUUGAGUCCGGGAGAGGAGGGUGGAAUUCCCAGUGUAGCGGUGAAAUGCGUAGAUAUUGGGAGGAACACCGGUGGCGAAGGCGGCUCUCUGGACCGGUACUGACGCUGAGGCGCGAAAGCUAGGGGAGCAAACGGG